UACAAUGGCAUAUGUCAAGCCUGAAUCCUCACUCUGGAACCUCGAAUGCACGAAGUGGGGGCCCGCAAGGAUUUUAAAAAUUAAUACUUGCCACUCCAGGCUUGUAUUAAACUACCAAGGUUUACAGCUUCUCUCUGACCUUGGCUUGGUAAAUGCUGC